rnacentral:lncRNA from 1 species
AUUUAAGAAUAAAUUAUAUUUUUUAUUAUCAAACUUUAAUUUUAAUUUAUCAAAAUUAAUGACUGAAAUCAUUUAAAUUUUAACAACCGAUCGAGUCCUACAAUCAAAUUUAAUUAACUAAAUAUUGACGAAUUAUUAGCACAGAAGUGACGUACGUAGUAUUUUAAUUAUUGUCCUAUCACCGAUUAUAAUUUUUCACGUCACUUCAGUAUCAAUAAUUUAUUAAAAUUCAGUUAACUAAAUUAUUUAUAAUAAUUUAAAAAAUAUAAAUUAAAAAUUAUAAUAAAUCAAAAUUUGAAAAUCAAACUGUCAUGUGUCUUGUAGUCUGAGGACCAAAAGUGUAAUUUAU